rnacentral:lncRNA from 1 species
GGCUAGGGGUCUAAUUGGAGCUGUAAUUGCUGGCCUAUUCCACAGCCACAGCAACACCAGAUCCGAGCUGCAUCUCCGACCUACACCACAGCUCAUGGAAAUGCUGGAUCCUUCACCCACUGAGUGAGGCCAGGGUCGAACCUGCAACCUCAUGGUUCCUAGUUGGAUUCAUUUCUGCUGCACCACGACGGGAACUCCAUCAUAUAUUUUUUUAAUUUAGAGUCUCUGAAUGGGUAAAUUGUAUGCAGAGGCAUUUCUAAGCAUAUCUUUUGGUGUGCUGAUAGGGCCUGGUUUAGGACUAUAGGACUGGUUUAAAACAAAAAUGGCUACUUGGCUACACAUGGUAAUUUUCCACACCAGUAAAUCACCCAUGAUAUGAUUCCAAAUGUCUCCCUUUGAGCACAAUCAUUUCAAGUUAGAAACAUUCUAGUUGCUUUAAAGGAGAUGACAUAAAGUGAAGCGGGCAGUUGCCACCAUGAACCUUUUAAAUCUGGAUGGAUCAUGACACUCCCUGGCCCAGAACUGCAAGGUAUGGUAUUAUCCUGUUGUAUGAUGGCGAGAAUUCAUAUGCUUCAUCAUCAGUUGGGAAGAUUGGGUCAGCAGUAUAAAAAUGUGACUGCCUUAUAACUAUAUAUACAACUCUGUCUUGAAGAGCCUAGACAAACUUCCUCAUACUGCCAAAUGAAGUGUACCUAAAAGAGCUGCUACUCAAUGGAAAUUUUCAAUGUUCCAAAUACCUUUUAGUCCUUAAGAUGGACUAGAAGGUUUAUUUCACAUGAGAGGGACUAAAAAUAGUUCUCCUCUAAACUGAGAAUUUUUAAUUAGUGGCUUUUGGGUCAUUUGUAGCUUUAACAUUUAUGACUAUAACAUUCUACAAAUACAUCAUCAUCAGUCUCUGACUUAGUAAGAGUUUGUAUUUUAAACAAACGUCCUGUUAGCCUAAUAUCACAUUCCUUACAUAGCUUCAAGGGCAGCAGCAAAUCUUCAUCUUUUAAGUUUCUGGAAACAAUCCAAAGCCAUUUAGGCCCAUACACCGGACUAACUGCUUCAUUCAAUUCAUAAUUAUUGAGUACAAUUAUUCAGCAAACACAAGGUGUAGCUAUACAAUAAUACAACAAUCUUCUGAAGAUCAUCAAAAUAUCCCUAGGUAGUUCCAGAAAAAAGAGUUCCAAAAAUGUUUUGAGAAAGGACAGCGUUUGUGGAUAGAAUAUUAGACUCCUAUUGAAUUCACAUGCCUAUUCCUCUAUUAAAUAAACUGACAAACAAAACAAAAAAGUGGUGUUAUUUGCUCUUCUUGACUGAAAAUAAAGUCUAUUUGUUUUUAUUGUCAGAAAAACUGGUGUAUGCUUUUGGGAAUAUAUCACAUAUGUAAAUAUCAUCCAUCAGGUCUCAAGAGGAAAACAAAGGUGCUGGGAGCAAAGCAAAAACAGAAGAUUAUUUUUAAGGAAAAUAACUUUUGGGCCAGUGUCAAUGCCAAGUAAGCAUAGAGACGCAAUAGCUGGGAGCACAGAGAACAGGUGGUCACAAUGUACCAGGCAAAUAUGGAGAAGCUUUAGGAUGAGGUGACAAUAGAGAUGAAAAAAAUACAAUGGUUUCUAGAGCAAUUUUUGGAGUAGAAUUCAGAGAAUUUAGAAGAUAAUUUAAUACAUGUAUCAUUAGAGAAGAGAAGGGGGGAAAGGUAGAAGGUAUGUCUUGGGUUUCCAGUUCUAGAGACAAUUAAGUUAAUCAAUUAAACUACACUGAAAAUGGGAAAUCUAGCAUUUUUGGGGGGCAGAUAAUGCCAUCUACUUUGAACAUUUUGGAGCCUGUAGGAUGUGCAGAUGGAGAUGUAUGAUAGGUAGAUGUAAGCAUAGUUCUGGAGAUUAGUAGAAAGGUGUGAGAUGGAAAUAAAAAUUGAAGAGUCUUGGGAAUUCCCACCAUGGCAUGGAGGGUUAAGAAUCUGACCGCAGCAGCUCAUGUUGCUAUGGAGGUGAGGGUCUGAUCCCCAGCCUGGCAUAGUGGCUUAAAGGAUCUGGCACAGCCACAGCUGUGGCAUAGAAAUGGUAAAAAUUAAGAAUGGAACACCAAGAUUUAAAGGUUGGACACAGCAAAGAGAGCCUAUAUUAAUUAUUGUUAAAACUUCAAAUUUUUAUUUUUAUAUCACUACCAUUGCCUAGAACUUAAGAUUUUAUAACCAGCUAACUACCCCAGGUCUCUACCUGGAUGCAAAAUAGAUGUUUGAAAUGUCAACAUGUCCAGGAGUUUUCUUGUGGCCCAGUGCAUUAAGGAUCUAAUAUUGUCACUGCAGGGGCUUGGGCUGCUGCUGCAGAGCGAGUUCAAUCCUUGGCCUUGGAACACUUCAUGCCAUGGGUGUGGCAAGAGAAGAAGGAGAAGAAGAAGGAGGAGAAAGAAAAAGAAGUAGUAGUAGUAAUAGUAGUAGUAGUGGUAGUAAUGUUUCCACACCUUCUUUCUAAAACAUAUUGCUUUUGGAGCAUUCUCCAUCUCAGUAAAUGGGUAACCGGUCUUCCAAAUGCUCAGGCCAAAAGCUCUGUAGUCUUCCUUGAUGCCUCCCUUCUAUAUCUAAAUUUAAAUAAUUAUGAAACCUUUUGGGCUCUGUCUUCAAAAUACAACAGAUAUCACCAUUUCUGAGUGGGAUCAAGAUGGCAGAGGAGUAAGAUGUGGCACUCACCUUCUGCACAAACACAUAAAAAAAAUCAGUCUACAUGUAGAAUGAUUCACACAAAACAUCUACUGAACACUGAACGAAGACCUUAAACCACUAAAAAGGGCAAGAAAUCCUCCACAUAACAGGGUAGAACAAAAGGGAAAAAAAUGAGAGAGAGAAGAGAAAAAAAAUAAAAGGAAUCAGGACGGGACUAGCACUCCUGAGAGGGAGCUGUGAAAAAGGAAAGGAAUCUACACCCUGGGAGGUCAUGUAACUGAUGGGGAGAUCAGCUGAGAUGGAGAAGGAGCCUCAAAGUCUAGGAGAAAAGCACAACAGCCAGUCUGAGAAAGGCAAAGCAAAGAGAAAGCUGCACAAAACAUUGGUACCAAUGCCCCCAGACACCACAGCCUGAGAUGCUCAUGUGGGAGCUGGGCACUGAGACUUAGGCUUCAGAGGUAAGAUCUGGGGAGAAGACUAUGUUUGACUAUGUGGACACAGCCUGAGGGCUUAGGAAGCCCUGCACCAAGGGCUGGGGAGUGGAAUACCACAGCUGAGGGAGUGCAGGAAGAAGCCUGAGCCUAUAGGAGAAGUGGGGUGCCACUGUUGGGGAGGGCAAGAAGGGGAGGGUUGGGACCACCAUAGGAAUAUCUUUCUCUGCACAUGUGUAAACGCUAGGGCAGUGGGGUAUCUCUUGCAUGGGCUACAGGCAGUGGGGGAAAACUGUCACAGCCAUCUCAGAUUCCAGAGGUAGGUGUGGCCCACCACCACUAGGGGUCCAUGAACAGGCACCACCUGUGGCCCCAGACCACAGAGGAGAACACUGCAACUGAGAACCACCUAUUGUUGCUCUCAUUCCUGUGGGAAUGCACACACCCUGCUGUUGCCAUUGCCAAAGGCUCUGGGUGUUGCCUAUACCUCCCCACCAGUCCUUGCCACAGUCAAGGGCCCAGGAACCAGACAGUGGCUACUAGCCCUGCCCAUUUCCUACAUCUUCCUGAAAGCACACACACAGAAUGUACACCAGCACACCCCUUUCAAGGGGCUAACAGCCUGCACACACUGAGGAAAGAGACAGUGAGCAUCCAAACCAAAAGCAGUUCUCACACCAAAAAAAAGUAAGCCCUGACAAAUUAUGUAGCUGUGCUCUUGCAUAUAAAUAUCCCUCCAAGACUAGAGUAGUUGUUUUCCCUAAACUCACAGGGUAAGAAAAAUAUAAGCAAAAUGAAGAAGCUCAGGAACCAUUCCCAGUUAAAAGAACAGGAGAACUCCCCUAAAAGAGAAAACAAUGAAACAGACCUGUGUAGUCUAACAGACACUGAGUUCAAAAAGGAGACAGUGAAAUCAUUGAAGGAAUUAAGAGUGAACAUGAAGGAUUUAAGGGCAGAUAUGAACAGUAAUGCAGAUUACUUUAGAAGGAGCUAGAAAAUAUAAGAAGGAGACAAGAAAAAUUAGAAAAUCCAUUUGUAGAGUUGCAAGCUGAGUUAAAGGCACUGAAUACCAGAAUGAAAAAUGCAAAAGAACGAAUGAGUAAGAAGGCAGAAUAAUGGAAAUCACUCCAUCAAAACCAAAUGAAAAAUACAUGAAAGCAGUAUAAGAGAUCUUACAGAUUAAAGAUUACAGAAAGUGAAGAAAAGUAAAAGGAGAUUGAAAAUAUGUCUAAAGAAAUUAUGGCUGAAAAUUUUCCAAAUCUAAAGGAGAGAGAUAUCAAGAUACAUGAAACACAGAGGGACCCCAACAAGUUGAACCCAAACAGACCCACAUCAAGACAUAUUAUAAUAAAAAUGGCAAAAGGUAAAGGAGAGGAUUCCAAUGGGGGCAAGAAAAAAACAAAGAGUGAGUUAUAAGGGAACCCCCAUAAGGCUAUCAGCUGAUCUCUCUACAGAAA